GAUGAACGCUGGCGGCGUGCCUAACACAUGCAAGUCGAGCGAAGCGCUUAAAUUAGAUUUCUUCGGAAUGACGAUUUUUGUGACUGAGCGGCGGACGGGUGAGUAACGCGUGGGUAACCUGCCUCAUACAGGGGGAUAACAGUUAGAAAUGACUGCUAAUACCGCAUAAGACCCCAGCUUCGCAUGAAGCGGUGGUAAAAACUCCGGUGGUAUGAGAUGGACCCGCGUCUGAUUAGCUAGUUGGUAAGGUAACGGCUUACCAAGGCGACGAUCAGUAGCCGACCUGAGAGGGUGACCGGCCACAUUUGGACUGAGACACGGCCCAGACUCCUACGGGAGGCAGCAGUGGGGAAUAUUGCACAAUGGGGGAAACCCUGAUGCAGCGACGCCGCGUGAAGGAUGAAGUAUUUCGGUAUGUAAACUUCUAUCAGCAGGGAAGAAAGUGACGGUACCUGACUAAGAAGCCCCGGCUAACUACGUG
rnacentral:rRNA from 1 species